rnacentral:rRNA from 1 species
AGUUUGAUCCUGGCUCAGAUUGAACGCUGGCGGCAUGCCUUACACAUGCAAGUCGAACGGUAACAGGUCUUCGGAUGCUGACGAGUGGCGAACGGGUGAGUAAUACAUCGGAACGUGCCCGAUCGUGGGGGAUAACGGAGCGAAAGCUUUGCUAAUACCGCAUACGAUCUACGGAUGAAAGCAGGGGACCGCAAGGCCUUGCGCGGACGGAGCGGCCGAUGGCAGAUUAGGUAGUUGGUGGGAUAAAAGCUUACCAAGCCGACGAUCUGUAGCUGGUCUGAGAGGACGACCAGCCACACUGGGACUGUGACACGGCCCAGACUCCUACGGGAGGCAGCAGUGGGGAAUUUUGGACAAUGGGCGAAAGCCUGAUCCAGCCAUGCCGCGUGCAGGAUGAAGGCCUUCGGGUUGUAAACUGCUUUUGUACGGAACGAAAAGACUCCUUCUAAUAAAGGGGGUCCAUGACGGUACCGUAAGAAUAAGCACCGGCUAACUACGUGCCAGCAGCCGCGGUAAUACGUAGGGUGCAAGCGUUAAUCGGAAUUACUGGGCGUAAAGCGUGCGCAGGCGGUUACAUAAGACAGAUGUGAAAUCCCCGGGCUCAACCUGGGAACUGCAUUUGUGACUGUAUAGCUAGAGUACGGUAGAGGGGGAUGGAAUUCCGCGUGUAGCAGUGAAAUGCGUAGAUAUGCGGAGGAACACCGAUGGCGAAGGCAAUCCCCUGGACCUGUACUGACGCUCAUGCACGAAAGCGUGGGGAGCAAACAGGAUUAGAUACCCUGGUAGUC